UACGAAGGGGGCUAGCGUUGCUCGGAAUCACUGGGCGUAAAGGGUGCGUAGGUGGGUAAGUAAGUCAGUGGUGAAAAUCUCCGGGGCUUAACCCCGGAAACUGCCAUUGAUACUACUUUAUCUUUGAAUACUUUUGGAGGUAAGCGGAAUAUGUCAUGUAGCGGUGAAAAAUGCUUUAGAUAUGACAUAGAAACACCCAAAUU
rnacentral:rRNA from 1 species